CGCGUAGGCGGCCUGACAAGUCAGAGGUGAAAGGCUACGGCUUAACCGUAGUAAGCCUUUGAAACUGACAGGCUUGAGUGCAGGAGAGGAAAGUGGAAUUCCUAGUGUAGCGGUGAAAUGCGUAGAUAUUAGGAGGAACACCAGUGGCGAAGGCGACUUUCUGGACUGUAACUGACGCUGAGGCACGAAAGCGUGGGGAGCGAACAGGAUUAGAUACCCUGGUAGUCC
rnacentral:rRNA from 1 species